UACGUAGGGUGCGAGCGUUAAUCGGAAUUACUGGGCGUAAAGCGUGCGCAGGCGGUGAUGUAAGACCGAUGUGAAAUCCCCGGGCUUAACCUGGGAACUGCAUUGGUGACUGCAUUGCUCGAGUAUGGCAGAGGGGGGGUGGAAUUCCACGUGUAGCAGUGAAAUGCGUAGAGAUGUGGAGGAACACCGAUGGCGAAGGCAGCCCCCUGGGCCAAUACUGACGCUCAUGCACGAAAGCGUGGGGAGCAAACAGGG
rnacentral:rRNA from 1 species